rnacentral:rRNA from 1 species
AAUUAAAAAUAAUACAAUAAUAGAAAAAGAAAUCUUCCAAGAAAAUUUCUAAAUUUUGUUUUAAAAUUAAAAUAAUUUUAUUAAUAAUAAAAAAACUUGUACCGUAAACCGACACAGGUGGGAAAGUAGAAUAUACUAAGGGGCGCGAGAAAAUUCUCUUUAAGGAACUCGGCAAAAUAGCUCUGUAACUUCGGGAGAAAGAGUACCUUUUUAUAAGGUCGCAGUGAAGAGGCUCGAUCAACUGUUUAACAAAAACACAAGUUUCCGCGAAGUCAUAAAGACAAUGUAUGGGAGCUGACGCCUGCCCAGUGCCAGUUGGUUAAUUAUAGGAGUUAAAAAAAAUAAUUUUUGAAGCUCUUAGACAAAGCCUUGGUGAACGGCGGCUGUAACUAUGACAGUCCUAAGGUAGCGAAAUUCCUUGUCAGGUAAGUUCUGACCCGCACGAAUGGCGUAAUGAAUCGAGCACUGUCUCAAAGAGAAUCUCGGUGAAAUAGACAUAUCCGUGAAGAUGCGGAUUACUUACACCAGGACAAUAAGACCCUAGAAGCUUUACUAUAGUUUGAAAUUGUACAAUAUUUUGAAAUAUAUAGUUUAUGUGGGAGAUUUUAACCUAAAAUAUGGUAAUCUUAAGUGAAAGACCACUUUUUUCUGAAAGACGGUACUUAAAAUAUACCUUUAAACAGGAUAUUUGACAGUUUUUGAUGGGUAGUUUACCUGGGGCAGGUGCCUCCUAAAAGGUAACGGAGGUAUACAAAGGUUCAUUUAAACUGUUUGGAAAUCAGUGGCGAAGUAUAAAGGCAUAAAUGGGCUUGAUUAUAAGACUUAAAAGUCGAGUAAGGACGAAAGUCUGUCUUAAUGAUCCGAUAUUCCUAUGUGGAAAGGUUAUCGCUCAUUUGAUAAGAGUUACUCUAGGGAUAACAGGCUGAUCUUCCCCAAGAGUCCAUAUCGACGGGAAGGUUUGGCACCUCGAUGUCGGCUCAUCGCAUCCUGGGGCGGUAGGUGGUCCCAAGGGUUGGGCUGUUCGCCCAUUAAAGCGGUACGUGAGCUGGGUUUAGAACGUCGUAAGACAGUUUGGUUCAUAUCCGGUGUAAGCUUUAGAACAUUGAAAGACAUCUUUAAUAGUACGAGAGGACUUUAAAGGAUAUACCUCUGGUCUACCAGUUCUUAUGCCAAUAGGAAACGCUGGGUAGCUACGUAUAGAACUCAGAAUCACUGAAUGCAUCUAAGUGAGAAAGAGAUCUUAAGAUAGAUGUUCUCUAAAAAAUUUUAGAAAGAUUAUCUAAUAAAUAGGUAUAACGUAUAAGAUUUGUAAAAAUUUAAGCGGAUAUAUACUAAUAAAUUAAAAGUUUUUGAUCU